UACAUAUAAAUUAAUGAAGAAAUUUCAGACGUGGAAGUAAAAUUUGCAGUCAGAGGGUCUCAAAGCAAACUUAGCAAGGACUACAGUAUUUCUACAUAAGAGAGACUCUUGCUAAUGUCAGGGAAAUGGCUUCGUGUUAAUGCUAAACGAAUUAGGUUAUCAGGAACAUAAACUCUUACGGUUGUUAAUGAGUGAGAGAGUCGCUUGCCUUAGUUCCGGUUUCCUAAUCACACGGACCUUCUACGUUAGUGGACCAUUACGUAUCAACACGAGUUACAAAACAGCUGCACAGCAGUGGAAAGAUAGCGGAAUGAAGUUUUGAAGCAAAAGAAUAAGCAGAACAAUUCUAGCCCAAGAGAUUCAACAGCUUUGAAUGAUAACACCAUGGAAAAUCAUCCAAAUCUUACUUUAAGUAUUAAUAAGAUGCCAAUGAAAAUUUUAUCUCCCAUCUUGCGUUGCCUUGAAUAUGAACAAAAUGAUGAUUUCUGGCCACAGUUUGUUCAGUUAGUAACCAGGAUCAAUUUUCACAUCAGCCAAGGAAAAUAUAGAGAAAUAAUCAAUAAAGGCAACAGACAAGGAAACACUGUUGCUCAAGAAAUGCUUGACUAUUUGGUUCCAAAGGGAUUUACCAUUCAUGAUCUUUUAUUUGUUUUAAAUGAACUCAAACUAGAGCCACAUGUUAAAGCAAUCAGAGAUUU
rnacentral:lncRNA from 1 species